CAUCCGCGGGGGGUCGAGCCAGCGGGGACCGCGGGGACCCCAGGUAAGUGGGGGGGCUCGAGCCCCCUGGCCUCGGGCUUUGGGGACAGCCAGGGGACAGCGGGGACAGCCAGGGGACAGCGGGGACAGGGUGGGGGCAGCAGGGACAGUGGUGCAGGGGGGACAGCAGAAAUGGGGCUACGAGGCCACCACAGCUCCUGGCAUGGUCGGGGACCUCUGGGGGUGACACUGGGGACACCCCAGGGUUGGAGGGAGGUGACCCUGGGGGUGCCGGGGGGACACCAAGCCGGGAGGGGGUACAACAGGUCCCCAGCGCUCCCAGUUCGGGUGCCCAUCGCUGCCCAGUGCCGGGGGAGGGGCCGAAGGGCUCCCGGUGGCCGUGCCAGCCGUGGUGGCACUCGGUGGUGGGGACGGGUCCCUGGACGGGAUGGGGACAGGGAUGGGCACAUGAGUGGCAGUGGGGACAGGGCUCUGGGACAAGGUCUGGGGACACAAGGGGUGCUGGCAGAGAGAGGACAGGGCCCGGGGCACGAGGGAUGCCAGGUGGGAGGGGACACGCCGUGACGUCACCAGGGUCACCGUGCUGGCUGCGGGGCACUCUGAGUGUCCCCAGUGUCCCGGGGCCCUGCCAGCGGCUGCCGGGCACUGGUGUCACCCGUGUCACCGCCGGCCUUCCCGGAAGGGCCACCACAGUGUUUGCCGAGUGUCACCACCGUGGUGGCACCAACUCCGGCGCCACCAGCGCGGUGACAGCCCCGCCUGGGGACCCCACGGGGACACAGUCUGGGGACACCCGUCCCUCUGGGGACACCCCGGGCCGGGAGGUGACAGAGACAGGUGGUGGGGACAGGAACCGCUUUUCUCCCCAGCGACGCUGUGGGGGUCGCCCGUGCCCCCGACAGAGCGCCCCUCCCCCCGUGUCACCCUGGCGGUGUCCCCGGCGGGGGGGGACGUGGGUCCGGGGGCUCCUGGGGACACCUGGGACCCUUGGGGACAUCGGUGCUGUCCCUGUUCCGUCCCCAUCCUGCGCCAGGAGCCCCGGGAUCCCCCGCGCUCCUCCUGCUCCGGGAGCCCCGGCCCGGCUCGGGGCAUUCCGG
rnacentral:lncRNA from 1 species